AUUCUCCUCUGUUGCUAUAGCAGUUUGUCAUUUGUUUCAUGCUUUCUCAGUCUAGUUCUCGGUUCAUUCAAGUAAUUCAUGGCGGUAAUAUGCUCGACACUAGCUUCAUGUUCUUUCGGUCUCUCAUUAAUAUGUAUUCAAUCACUAAAUGCAUCAUGCAUCAAUGAACUCCAUUUGUCAGAAUUGAAAAGCUUAAAAAAACAAAACACUUUAUUUGAGCAUUUUGAAUAA
rnacentral:rRNA from 1 species